rnacentral:tRNA from 1 species
GACUCCGUGGCGUGAUGGUAGCGCGUCUGACUCCAGAUCAGAAGGUUGCGUGUUCAAAUCACGUCGGGGUCA